CAGGGGAUUGCAGUGGCAAAGCUAGGCUAGGUCUUGGAGGCUGGUGUAAGGCGAUGCGGGUGAAGGCAGGAGGCUGAUGGAGAGACUGGGGGGAAGAAAAGCCGAAAUGGAUUCACGGUGCCUUGGAUGAAGGACGAGAGGGGAACUGCAAGCUCCUUCAACUGGUUCUGUCCGGUGAGAAGUGAUCAAGCUUGGGCUGACAAGAGGCUCAGGGAGCCCUCACGUUCUUUCGCUUUUUUACCUGCCAAUCAAACUGCUACAAGACAACACCCUGAUCUGGCAUGGACAUACACAGCCCAGGCAGACAGAAGGAAACGGAGCAUUAAUCCAACUGCAGUCACCCCAAAGUACAGGCCACUUGGAUCCAGAAGAGAAACUGGUUCCUUCUACAAGCUCUCCCGUUCUCCCUGGGGCCGUUCACAGCCCCCUUGUCUACGUUGUGGCUGUGCUUUCCCUGAUCCAACUUAGAAAUAAUGUUUCAUUCAAGAUAAGGCUCGUGGUUUAGGAGAUUGUGACCUGGCUUGCAUCAUUCUAAGACUUCUAUCGUCUGUUUUCAAAACCCAAGGAGGACCUCAUUUUCUGUGUGAUAGUUCCUCAUGCUUUGCCAGCC
rnacentral:sRNA from 1 species